rnacentral:rRNA from 1 species
UGGGGAAUUUUGGACAAUGGGGGCAACCCUGAUCCAGCAAUGCCGCGUGUGUGAAGAAGGCCUUCGGGUUGUAAAGCACUUUUGUCCGGAAAGAAAUCGCCCUGGCUAAUAUCCGGGGUGGAUGACGGUACUGGAAGAAUAAGCACCGGCUAACUACGUGCCAGCAGCCGCGGUAAUACGUAGGGUGCGAGCGUUAAAUCGGAAUUACUGGGCGUAAAGCGUGCGCAGGCGGUUGUGCAAGACAGAUGUGAAAAUCCCCCGGGGCUUAAACCUGGGAAUGGCAUUUGUGACUGCACGGCUAGAGUGUGUCAGAGGGGGGUAGAAUUCCACGUGUAGCAGUGAAAUGCGUAGAUAUGUGGAGGAACACCGAUGGCGAAGGCAGCCCCCUGGGAUAACACUGACGCUCAUGCACGAAAGCGUGGGGAGCAAACAGGAUUAGAUACCCUGGUAGUCCACGCCCUAAAGCGAUGUCAACUAGUUGUC